rnacentral:misc_RNA from 1 species
GAUGAAGAACGUAGCGAAAUGCGAUAAGUAAUGUGAAUUGCAGAAUUCAGUGAAUCAUCGAAUCUUUGAACGCACAUUGCGCCCCUUGGUAUUCCGAGGGGCAUGCCCGUUCGAGCGUCAUUAUACCCCUCAAGCCUAGCUUGGUGUUGGGGCCUGCUGUUACCGGCAGCCCUUAAAAUCAGUGGCGGUGCCGUCUGGCUCUAAGCGUAGUAAUACUUCUCGCUACAGGGUCCCGGUGGAUGCUUGCCAUCAACCCCUAACUUUCUAUGGUUGACCUCGGAUCGGGUAGGGAUACUCGCUGAACUUAAGCAUAUCAAUAAGCGGAGGA